GAACGCAGCUCAGUCGAGAUUCUACGGGAGGCAGCAGUGGGGAAUAUUGGGCAAUGGAGGAAACUCUGACCCAGCGACGCCGCGUGCGGGAUGAAGGCCUUCGGGUUGUAAACCGCUUUCAGCAGGGAAGAAGCGAAAGUGACGGUACCUGCAGAAGAAGCACCGGCUAACUAUGUGCCAGCAGCCGCGGUAAUACAUAGGGUGCAAGCGUUGUCCGGAAUUAUUGGGCGUAAAGAGCUCGUAGGUGGUUCGUCACGUCGGAUGUGAAACUCUGGGGCUUAACCCCAGACCUGCAUUCGAUACGGGCGAGCUUGAGUAUGGUAGGGGAGUCUGGAAUUCCUGGUGUAGCGGUGGAAUGCGCAGAUAUCAGGAGGAACACCAAUGGCGAAGGCAGGACUCUGGGCCAUUACUGACACUGAGGAGCGAAAGCGUGGGGAGCGAACAGGAUUAGAUACCCUGGUAGUCCACGCCGUAAACGGUGGGCACUAGUUGUGGGGACCUUCCACGGUCUCUGCGACACAGCUAACGCAUUAAGUGCCCCGCCUGGGGAGUACGAUCGCAAGAUUAAAACUCAAAUGAAUUGACGG
rnacentral:rRNA from 1 species